AUUGAACGCUGGCGGCAUGCCUUACACAUGCAAGUCGAGCGGCAUCGCGGGAAAGCUUGCUUUCCUGGCGGCGAGUGGCGAACGGGUGAGUAACACAUCGGAACGUACCGGCUAGUGGGGGAUAACCCGUCGAAAGACGGGCUAAUACCGCAUACGCUCUUCGGAGGAAAGCAGGGGACCUUUGGGCCUUGCGCUAGCCGAGCGGCCGAUGUCCGAUUAGCUAGUUGGUGGGGUAAGGGCCUACCAAGGCGACGAUCGGUAGCGGGUCUGAGAGGACGAUCCGCCACACUGGGACUGAGACACGGCCCAGACUCCUACGGGAGGCAGCAGUGGGGAAUCUUGGACAAUGGGGGCAACCCUGAUCCAGCAAUGCCGCGUGGGUGAAGAAGGCCUUCGGGUUGUAAAGCCCUUUCGGCAGGGAAGAAAUCGGCGGGGCGAAUAACCCUGCUGGAUGACGGUACCUGCAGAAGAAGCACCGGCUAACUACGUG
rnacentral:rRNA from 1 species